AUUAAAAUUAAUUAAAAUUUAAUUACUGUUAAAACAGUUUUAAAAUCGAAUGUAUUUAUAUGGUAAUAAACCUAUUUUAUAUAAAUUAUAUCCUGGUCGUAAUAUAUUUAAUGUAUGGGAUAUAUUGGUAAAUAAUUAUAUUAUUUUUAUCGUUUAUUAUGGGUGCUAUAUAAUUUUUAAUAUUUAUCGGUUAUAAUAUUUUUUUCAAAUUAUAUAAUAUUACGUAUAUUUUUUUUAUAUAAUUUUAUUUUUACCGGUCGUUGGUUUUUUUAAACAAAUGUCGUUAAAAAAAUAUAAUCCCACCUGGUUUUUUUGGUGCUGGCCCAAUUUAUUUGGUCGUAAUAUUAAAUUUUUUUUUAAUUAAAUUUUUUUGGUUUUAAAUAAUUUAUAUUUUCCUAAUUUUUAUUUUUAAUUUCGUUUUUUCCUGGUUAAUUCUUUUGCGCUUUAUUUAGCAAAAUUAACAAAAUUCGCGGUGGUUUUUCCACCGUUUAUCGCAAUGAUUUGUUUUUUGUGUUUUUUUUUCGACGGUUAAAAUGUUUUUUUAUUUUAUUUGCGAAUUGCAAAAAAUUAUAAAAUACGUUAUAUCGUUUCGUAAUUUUUUUCGUUAUAUCGAAUAUAUACGUUUAAAUUGUUCGCGGUAUAAUAUAAUGGAUAUUUCGCGGAAAUAAUUUUAUCGUUUGGCCGUCCAAUAUUCCAAAUUAGAUAUCGACGUUAGAAUUUAAAAAUUGAAAUUAUUGGAACGGAAAUAAAAAUUAACGGUUAAACGCCAAAAAUUUUUGCGUUUUAAAAAUUAAAAAAAAAAUAUAAUUUAAAAAAAUAAUAAAAACAAUUCGUCGUAAAAUUAAUAAUUUGGAAAAAUUGGAUUGGGUGGAACGCGAAAAAAUAAACUAAAAAAAACGGCGGCGACCGGCCGAAAUUUUUUUUUAAAAUACCCCUAAAAUCGUUUUUUCCGGAUUUUAUUUUUAUUUGGGAUUCGAUUUUCCCAAUAAAUUUUUUUAAUUUUUUUUAUUAAAUAAAAUAAGUAUUUUUACGUAAUAUUUAAUUAAUAAAUUAUUUGUUUUCGUAUUUUGGUUUAUAAUAUAUAUUAAUUAUUUUUUCGUAAAUUUAUUUGGUAAUAUAAUUUCGAAUUUUGGUCGGUUUUUAAUUUUUGGAAAUAAUAAAUGGUAUUUUUUUAAAAUGUUUUUUUUUUGCUUAAUUUGUUCGCAAAUUUAAUUUUUAAUAAUAUUGGCGGAAUCGUUCCUGGUAAUUUUAAAAAUAAUUAAAAAAUUUCCAAAUAUUUUUUUCGUAUCCGUAAUUUUUUUAUUUAAUAAAACAUUUUAUUUUACCAUAAUUUUGUUUAUAAUUAAAUAUCCGUUUAACAUUAUAAAUUUAUUUUGCGUCGAUUUCGAUCGUUUUUUAUAUAUUAAUAUCGUAUAAUACCGGUUUUAAUAAUAAUACGUAAAAAAUGGGGUAAGCUUUUAUAAUAUUUGGUAAUAAUAAUUUAUAAUUAAUAUUGUUAAUUUUUUUAUUAAUUUU
rnacentral:sRNA from 1 species